GACGAACGCUGGCGGCGUGCUUAACACAUGCAAGUCGAACGGAAAGGCCCUGCUUUUGUGGGGUGCUCGAGUGGCGAACGGGUGAGUAACACGCGAGUAACCUGCCCUUGACUUUGGGAUAACUUCAGGAAACUGGGGCUAAUACCGGAUAGGAGCUCCUGCUGCAUGGUGGGGGUUGGAAAGUUUCGGCGGUUGGGGAUGGACUCGCGGCUUAUCAGCUUGUUGGUGGGGUAGUGGCUUACCAAGGCUUUGACGGGUAGCCGGCCUGAGAGGGUGACCGGCCACAUUGGGACUGAGAUACGGCCCAGAAUCCUACGGGAGGCAGCAGUGGGGAAUAUUGCACAAUGGGCGGAAGCCUGAUGCAGCAACGCCGCGUGCGGGAUGACGGGCUUCGGGUUGUAAACCGCUUUCGCCUGUGACGAAGCGUGAGUGACGGUAAUGGGUAAGGAAGCACCGGCUAACUACGUG
rnacentral:rRNA from 1 species